GAUGAACGCUGGCGGCGUGCCUGAUACAUGCAAGUCGAGCGAAUGGAUUAAGAGCUUGCUCUUAUGAAGUUAGCGGCGGACGGGUGAGUAGCACGUGGGUAACCUGCCCAUAAGACUGGGAUAACUCCGGGAAACCGGGGCUAAUACCGGAUAACAUUUUGAACCGCAUGGUUCGAAAUUGAAAGGCGGCUUCGGCUGUCACUUAUGGAUGGACCCGCGUCGCAUUAGCUAGUUGGUGAGGUAACGGCUCACCAAGGCAACGAUGCGUAGCCGACCUGAGAGGGUGAUCGGCCACACUGGGACUGAGACACGGCCCAGACUCCUACGGGAGGCAGCAGUAGGGAAUCUUCCGCAAUGGACGAAAGUCUGACGGAGCAACGCCGCGUGAGUGAUGAAGGCUUUCGGGUCGUAAAACUCUGUUGUUAGGGAAGAACAAGUGCUAGUUGAAUAAGCUGGCACCUUGACGGUACCUAACCAGAAAGCCACGGCUAACUACGUGCCAGCAGCCGCGGUAA
rnacentral:rRNA from 1 species